rnacentral:tRNA from 1 species
GCCAUCAUGGUGUAGUGCUUCAAAUGUUGGACUAUGACUCUGGAGAUCAGGGUUCGAUUCCCCUCUUGGCC